rnacentral:misc_RNA from 1 species
UGGCUCUCGCAUCGAUGAAGAACGCAGCGAAAUGCGAUAAGUAAUGUGAAUUGCAGAAUUCAGUGAAUCAUCGAAUCUUUGAACGCACCUUGCGCUCCUUGGUAUUCCGAGGAGCAUGCCUGUUUGAGUGUCAUUAAAUUCUCAACCUUUCCAGUUUGUUAUGAACGGGUCAGGCUUGGAUGUGGGGGUUGCAGGCUUCUCAGAAGUCAGCUCCUCUUAAAUACAUUAGCAGUACCUUUGUGGACCAGCUUUGGUGUGAUAAUUAUCUACGCCAUGGUUGUGAAGCAGCUUUACAUGGGGUUCAGCUUCUAACAGUCCAUUGACUUGGACAAUUUUUGACAUUUUGACCUCAAAUCAGGUAGGACUACCCGCUGA